GAUGAAGAACGCAGCGAAAUGCGGUAAGUAAUGUGAAUUGCAGAAUUCAGUGAAUCAUCGAAUCUUUGAACGCACAUUGCGCCCGCUAGUAUUCUGGCGGGCAUGCCUGUCCGAGCGUCAUUUCAACCCUCAAGCCCCCGGGCUUGGUGUUGGGGAUCGGCGAGCCUCCGCGCCCGCCGUCCCCUAAAUCUAGUGGCGGUCUCGCUGUAGCUUCCUCUGCGUAGUAGCACACCUCGCACUGGGAAACAGCGCGGCCACGCCGUUAAACCCCCAACUUCUGAACGUUUGACCUCGGGUCAGGUAGGAAUACCCGCUGAACUUAAGCAUAUCAUAAGCGAGGA
rnacentral:misc_RNA from 1 species